AGCACUUUCUGGGGUGUGUGUGUGGGGUGUUUUUAUAUCUCAGGAAGCUGCCGGAAGAUCAACACACAUUUACUAGGGAGAAAAAUCUGAAACUGUAAUACCUUCUUGAGAUGAUUAUUUACAUUUAUAUCCCGCUCUUCCUCUAAGGAGCCCAGAGCAGUGUACUACAUACUUAAGUUUCUUCUCACAACAACCCUGUGAAGUAGGUUAGGCUGAGAGAGAAGUGACUGGCCCAGAGUCACCCAGCUAGUAUCGUGGCUGAAGGGGGAGUUGAACUCAGGUCUCCCUGGUCCUAGUCCAGCACUUUGACCACUACACCAUGCCUAAAAUAUCUCAUGAGUGGUCAGCAAGCUAACCUUUUAUGGGCCUCUGAACAAGUUAGAACACUGCCAGGUUUGAAGGUUGGACGCCAGGGGUGUGUGUGUGCACUUACCCCCCACCCUGCCCCACCAAUUUCCCCCACUGGUGCUCGGGGCAGCAGCAUACCUCCCUGCUGCCCCAUUGCCCGUUUUACCGGAAGUACUUGACGCGCCUGUGUGCAUUGCGCUUGCGUGCACACAUCAGGUGUGUGUGCGCGCGAUGUGUGUGGAACGCAUGCGGCAAAGGGGGCAACGGGGCAGCAGGGAGGUAUGCUGCGGCCCCUACAGAUUUUUAGGAAACCAGGUGCUGGCGGGGGAAACGUGAUGGGGGGGGAGUGCACCCUCCGCUGCCCUCAAAGUUAACCUCCCCCCCACCACACACACACCCCUGCGUUGAACUGGCCCCCGGCGGUUCCUUGCACAUCCCUAGCAAGUUUUCCAUUUCUUCAGGCUGGAAGUUAAGUACAAUGAGGAGCUUGGGGUAGACAAAUUCCCAUCCUCCUUUUUAUUUUAACAUGGAGUCUGAAGGCGGCUUCUGAAGAACUCAAAAGCUCAUUAUUUUUGAGAUUGGUUGGUUGGGCCUCAGAGGUAUUACACAUUACCCAGCUUUGGAUUUAGGCUAAUGGACUAACACAGCCAUUAUUGUUUCUUUGUGGUAUUAGUGUUGGACAUCAGGGUUUCUCAACGUGUGGGUCCCCAGAUGUUAUUGGACUUCAGCUCCCAUAAUCCCCUGCCCCAGUGGCCUUUGGUUGGGAAUUAUGGGAGUUGAAGUCCAAUUACAUCUGGGGACCCACACGUUGAGAAUCCCUGGACUAGGUGAUUAGCUUUAAGCCCCUGCUCAAUUUUGUCACUCCUUAAAUGGCUUUGAGUGAGUCGCUCUCAUGGCCAGCCUACUUCACAAGGUUGCUGUGAGGAUCAGAAGGGGCAGAGGGAGAGAGCCAUGUGUGCUGCUCUGAGCUGGUUAGAGGAAGUAAAGGGUUAAAGUGCAAUCAUAAAUAUUAAGACCAACUAAAAUAUCUCAAAGUUGUGAUGAGCAAACUUGCAAGUCCCUGAGCAUGAAAACUUGCUCAAUCUUUUUCUAUGUAAGCUGCUUUGAGAACAGCUUAGUUGAAAAGCAGAAUACAAAUAAUAAUCGGUCCAGUUAGUGAGUGUCCAUGUAAUUGCAUGCAAACAAACUAGAAAGUAAAACCCACAGACUCAGUAAAGAUUGUCAGUGACAUUAAAAGCAGCUUAGAGUGUGUUCUCACAUUGAUCCAGACUGGCAAAAAAAGCAGGAAUCCUAGAUCCAAGCAGUGUGGAUCAUAAGAAGCUGCCUUCCAUCGAGUCAGACCAUUGAUCCAUCUAGCUCAAUACUGUCUACCCAGACUGGCAGCAGCUUCUCCAAGGUUACAGGCAGGAGUAUUGUGUAUUAUUUUGUAUUGUGAGAACCUGAAACUGUAGUAGGGCUUACUUAGUCCACAUCAACCUCAGAUCAAAUCCUAGAUCACUGAUCUGAUGUGGGCUGGGUGCAGUUGUAAGCCUUGCAUUUCGGAGUUCUCACAACAGAAAAUUAGGAGUGUGUGCGCUGCUUGGAUCUAAGAUUCUUGCUUUCCUGGCAUCCCAGAUCAUCUUAAGAAUGCAUCCAUGGAUUGCAUGCUGGAAGAUUGCAUGCUGGGUGCCACAACAGAAAGGCUCUCUUUCUGCUCCUGAUCCUGGAAUGUGGCCUGAACCUCAGAACAUGGGGGCACUCAUAAAAAGGGCCUUUGACAAAUGAUCUUGUCAUUCAGAAAGGUUCAUGUGAGAGAAGGCAAUACUUUAGAUAUGUGGGGCCCAAGCUGUUUAGGACUUGAGAAGUUAAGUUACUGGUAGUUGGUGCAGCUGAAGACCUGAAGAGAUGCAUUCCAGUUGGCCAGACUAGGUCAACAACCCUGUGAGCAGUAUUGUGGAGUAACUGAAGUUCCAAGAAGUAAAAGGUGUGCCGUUGAGUCGGUGUCGACUCCUGGUGACCACAGAGCUCUGUGGUUUUCUUUGGUAGAAUACAGGAUGGUGCAUUUCAGCAUCUUCCUAUUUCGCUGCUACCCGAUAAAGGUGUUUCCCAUAGUCUGGGAAACAUACCAGUGGGGAUUUGAACCGGUAACCUCUGGCUUGCUAGUCAAGUCAUUUCCCCGCUGGAAAUCAGACAGCAAAUAGCUUAAAACCAUGACAUUUAAAAUGUUAGUUUGGUCUCUUCUAAUAUGAUUUCGAGCUUUCUGCCCAAGCUAACAAUCCCAAGUGCUACUCACCUAUUUUGGAGUGGAUACAACAGCAGAAACUGUCUACAGAACCAAGCACACUGUGAAGAUACCCUGGUUUUUCGUGUUUGGAAAAAUGAAUAUCAUGCUGCCAGCUCAAAUACCACAAGCUGAAGGGCUCUAAUAUAGAGAAAAGGGGCAUAUGAUCCUUUUCCAAGUCAUGACAAAAAGAAAUGAUUUGUGGUUGACAGCAUGAGCUCUUCAAGCUGAAACGAACAAAAUCACCAUCUCCAGUUUCCCAUGUGUCUUUCCUGAAGAUCUGCACUGCAUUAUGGAUUGGAACUCAAGUAAGCCAAACAAACUGGUGUGAUUCUGCUGCUGACAUUGUUAACACUGGGGAUGAAGCAGUCUUGGCACAAGCUCCUCUUACGUCACACUGACCCUCCUUUUCAAGCUUUAUGAUAUGGACUGCUGCCCCUCAUAUUGGGGGGUGCAUGUACAGCCUUGAACGGCUGAGUGUAAAACAACUGCUUUGGCCUGAUCCUUACCUGACUUGCAUGCCUGUGCUCCAAGAACAGACAUCCUUCCUCAGCAGCAGAUUGUUCAGGGCCACAGCGUUGAUCAUAUAGAAAAGCUGCUUAAAGACCUGUUGGAUGAUCUCGGGGUCGAGCCCCUGGUCGCACACGACACUGUGAAAUGUGUUGAGUUGGCGGAUGAUCGCCUCCAAGCUGUAUGAGUUGUCACUGUCUCCCAUGCUGGAGGUUCGCUUCCGGUAGCCCAUUGGCUUCGCACCCGACAGGCCUUGGAUGCUCUCGUUUUCCAAUACCGCAGACACUGGGAAGAGAGGAAAUUAUUUUCAGCAGGCUAAGUAGAGACGCCAAGGAAGUGGCAAGGGUAGCAUUUCCACUCUGAGCUUCCUUAAUAGCUGCUAGAUUCUGUCUGCCCAAAUUCACAUCUUUAAAUUAUAUGUAAUUUGCAUUUCAGGCUCAUGAACGGAGAGUAAUGGGCUGUAAUUCUGGUGGCACAUACACGUAGCACUUUAGUGACCUAGAGGGAGCAAUAAAUGCUGGGAAUUCUCUUGGGCUUUCAACCUGCACUGAGAGAAGCUUCCUUUGUCAGGUUAACUCUCCUGCUGUUGGCAUAUGGAGGAUAAAUUUACUCAGUAUUCCUCUGACAUUGUUGUGGGAGGAAGGACUAAUUAGCUAAUGGCCAUAAAGGACUAAAAUACUGUGGGGUAAUAGGAAGGGUUAGAACUCAAUUAACAUACUGUAAAAAUUACAAAUAUCUCUGCAAGGAGGUAUAAUAAAUUUAUACCACAGCUCUAGCAUGCAGUUGGAAUGGAUUCCAUGUUGAAAGCGAUUAUUCAAAUAGGGGGGAAAUGGAUGCAAAAGGAAGGAUUAAAAGAACUGCAUCCCCAGAACUAGAACUUGGGUGACUAGUGGAAGAAGAGUGCCAUGACUGAAAGUAUUCCAUAAACGCACUGUGCCAGAGAGGAACUGGGUACUGGGGACAGGAUUCAGCACUGUGGAAAUCUUGGUGUGUUUGGUUUCUUAAAAGCCCUUAAAGUUAAAAGGCAUAGGUAACGCCUGUUGAACUCAGGGUUCCUAUGAAAUUCACUUUUGGGUUCCUAUGGGGAAAUGAAAAUGAGAAAAGUUGUCAACACUCAUAACUCGUACCAGAUGUCUGACAGCUCCUAAUUUAGAUCCAUCCUUUAUAGGCUAAGCAGAUUUUCAAUUUCAAUACAAUGUUUUCUGCAUACAGCCCUCCAAAGGAAUGGUUCUAAAAGCAUUAUAUUCCAACUAGCUUUCAGACCAAAAACGGCUUCUCUGCAAACACCAUUCAAAUGAAUGAGACUUGUACAAAAGUGCUAUUUGGGAAGCUGUGCCCAUUGGGUCACUUGAUGAAUGGAACCCUUCAUUCAAGAACAUUGUGGAAUCAGUCAGCAUUGGCUGAAUUCAUUCAGGAAGUAGGGGAAAGUUAGCUGCUAGUGCUCCAGUGAACCACUGGGUUGAGUUCAAUAUUGUUCCCGCCACUUCACCUAUCAUGGGCUGCAAGACGCCUUCUGCGAUUUUGAUGAGCUGCUGGUAAAUCUGAAUGGAAAGAUCACUUAGGACCUGGCGAUACUCAGUGAGGUCGAAAUUCUUCAGACAGUGUUCAUUCUGCUUCGCAGUGUUUUGGGUCAUAAAACCCUGAGAAAGAGAGAGCAACAGAAGGGAGCAAUUUAGCUGAGAGCAGUUUGCAUUUAAUCUUAGUAAAGCACCACACAUUUUAGAUCUUGGUAUAUCAGACAAAACUGACAACUUUAUUAUAAUUCUGUCCAGUCAUUCUGCCCCUGCCCCAUGUAUUUACUGAACACGCCAGAGUUCUCUCACCGCAUCUCCGCUGUAUUGCUUCAAACAAUGUAGGAGGCGACAGGUAUUGGCCAGCCAAAAGGAUGUCAUCUCAAAAUCCUCAUUGUGCUUCUGUGAAGAACCCAAAAUAAAUGAGAUGAAAACCUCCUUUUAUGGAUGAACUGUAUUACAGAAAUGAUUAAUUCAGAGCAUCAGCACUUUGUAACAUUGUUUCUGUUACAAGCAACAGAAAUGCCAAAUUCUGUUGCGAUUUCCAUAUUACUUGGGUUGAACCAUUUGAACAGGAGUGUUAGGCUUCAUGGACAAUGGUGGGAGGGGAGAGAAGGAAUAAGAGAAUAAAAAGACAAGAGGAGGGCAGUCCUUAGGGUCUGGAGGGACUGGGGACAGUGAGGGAGAUGUGUGCUUUCUGUCUGUCACUUUGGGGUUCAAAUCCUGGUCUGCAGAGCUAUCGGGCAACUUCACUGCUCAGUUUACCAUCAUCAGGGACUCUGUACAAAGAUUCACUGAGAGAUGAUCAGGUAACCUUUUGCUGGCCACUAAUGGGACUUGGUCUGUAAUAAAAGCAUUGCAUUGCCCAUG